GGCUCUUCUCCCCAGCUACCAUUGCCGACCUCCGCGCCUCCUGUGUCCGUGAAAUGGGGAAAGGAACAGGAAGCUUUGGUAAGACGAGGAACAAGACUCACACGCACCGUGUGAGGUGUGGAUGCCGCAGCUUUCAUCUUCAGAAGAGCAGAUGCGCUGAUCAAGAUAUAUAACUGGAGCGUGAAGGCCAUUAGGAGGAAGACGAUCGGAAUUGAUCAAAUGAGGUACCUCCGCCAAGUUACCCGGAGAUUCAAGAGUAUUCAAGCAGCUCCAAGGAGGAAGGGGGAGCCGCAGCCGGUAACAAGUUAAAUUGUUUUUAUGUUCAACAGAUGAGAUUUAACAUUGUGAAAUCAACGAUUGAGAAUAAAAUAUAACGUUUACGA